CUCCUCAAAUGCUGGAUGACCUGGACUGCAGCACCCGAUCUCCCCAGCGAGUUUUAAGGUGUCAUGCAGACGGUGGUUGACAGUUGGGGAGACGCAGACCUGGUGGCCCACCGGGAUGGUGUAUCCUGCUGCAGUCUGAGAGAGUUAAGCAGAAAGAAAACUGUUUCUGCACUGGAUGGAGAGAUUAACUAUUAAAAA